rnacentral:rRNA from 1 species
UACAGAGGUCUCAAGCGUUGUUCGGAUUCAUUGGGCGUAAAGGGUGCGUAGGUGGCGGGGUAAGUCAGGUGUGAAAUCCCCGGGCUCAACCCGGGAACUGCGUCCGAUACUGGAAGGCUUGAAUCCGGGAGAGGGAUGCGGAAUUCCAGGUGUAGCGGUGAAAUGCGUAGAUAUCUGGAGGAACACCGGUGGCGAAGGCGGCAUCCUGGACCGGCAUUGACGCUGAGGCGCGAAAGCCAGGGGAGCAAACGGG